UGGGUCCAAGUCAGCCUUUCAGUGCUUCUAGUUUUUGGCUAUCUAGAAGUUCUCAUUCUUGUGAGACAACUAAAAUUUUCCACAAAUAUUGAGUUAAUCUACUUUAUUACAUUUCUUUUAUCGGGAUACUGUGAUAUUUUAUUUUUAUUUUGGAAACAGACAUGCCUAGGGUGAUAUUUCUCUUCCUAUCUUUUUGUGUCCCCUUCCUGAUCUGCAAACCUACUUUUCUCUUUCUUUCUCUAAUACAGUAACUUGGAAACUGUUCAGAGCAACCAGCUAGCUUAAUAGUUUCUUCUUCACAUCUUGUUUUAUUCACCCCCAGCUCAUAUCCCACUGUUUCACUGUUAGAAAACAUUAAAGUCAACAUAGUUCUCCAAUUUUCCUGUUGAUUAGUUAGUCCAAUUAAGUCAACCCAAAAGCUUCGCAAAUUGCUGCUGCCAGAAAUUUCUAGAUAGCCUAAUUCUCAUAUUUCACCAUUAAAGCAGCCAAUUCUAUCCUCAAACCUUGUGUUUUG
rnacentral:misc_RNA from 1 species